UGGGGAAUAUUGCACAAUGGGCGCAAGCCUGAUGCAGCCAUGCCGCGUGUAUGAAGAAGGCCUUCGGGUUGUAAAGUACUUUCAGCGAGGAGGAAGGCGUUGUGGUUAAUAACCGCAACGAUUGACGUUACUCGCAGAAGAAGCACCGGCUAACUCCGUGCCAGCAGCCGCGGUAAUACGGAGGGUGCAACCGUUAAUAGGAAUUACUGGGCGUAAAGCGCACGCAGGCGGUCUGUCAAGUCGGAUGUGAAAUCCCCGGGCUCAACCUGGGAACUGCAUCCGAAACUGGCAGGCUGGAGUCUUGUAGAGGGGGGUAGAAUUCCAGGUGUAGCGGUGAAAUGCGUAGAGAUCUGGAGGAAUACCGGUGGCGAAGGCGGCCCCCUGGACAAAGACUGACGCUCAGGUGCGAAAGCGUGGGGAGCAAACA
rnacentral:rRNA from 1 species